rnacentral:tRNA from 1 species
CGGUGCCCGGACCGGCCCAACCAGUUGCCCGGUGUCAAGCCGGGCGAUCUCGGCCAGGUCCCCGGCGUCCAGUUCGAAGUCGAAGACGUCGA